CGCGGUAUAUUGACCGUGCAAAGGUAGCAUAAUCAUUAGUCUUUUAAUAGAAGACUGGUAUGAAAGGUUUAACGAAACAUAAACUGUCUUUAUUUUAAAUUUAUAAUUUAACUUUUGAGUUAAAAGGCUUAAAUUUUAUUGGAGGACGAGAAGACCCUAUAGAGCUUUACAUUAUUUUUUUUAUGUUAUUUUGUUGAAUGAUAUAACAUUUUAUAUAUUGUUGUUUUGUUGGGGUGGCAAAUAAUAUUUAAUUAACUUUAAUUGUUUACUUACAUUAAUUUGUGUAUAAUUAGAUCCAUUAAUAUUGAUUGAUAGAUUAAGUUACCUUAGGGAUAACAGCGUAAUCUUCUUUUGGAGAUCGAAUUUAUAAGAAGGAUUGCGACCUCGAUGUUGGAUUAAGAUUAUAAUUGGGUGUAGUAGCUUAUAUUAUAGGUCUGUUCGAC
rnacentral:rRNA from 1 species